rfam:Triticum urartu cultivar G1812 contig1224311, whole genome shotgun sequence.
AACAUACUCCCUCCGUCCAAAAGUACUUGUCAGAGAAAUGAAUGUAUCUAGACAUAUAUUAGUUCUAGAUACAUCCAUUUUUAUCCAUUUGUGCGACAAGUAUUUUCGGACGGAGGGAGUACUUU